UAGGGAAUCUUCGGCAAUGGACGGAAGUCUGACCGAGCAACGCCGCGUGAGUGAAGAAGGUUUUCGGAUCGUAAAGCUCUGUUGUUAGAGAAGAACGUUGGUAGGAGUGGAAAAUCUACCAAGUGACGGUAACUAACCAGAAAGGGACGGCUAACUACGUGCCAGCAGCCGCGGUAAUACGGAGGUCCCGAGCGUUGUCCGGAUUUAUUGGGCGUAAAGCGAGCGCAGGCGGUUCUUUAAGUCUGAAGUUAAAGGCAGUGGCUUAACCAUUGUACGCUUUGGAAACUGGAGGACUUGAGUGCAGAAGGGGAGAGUGGAAUUCCAUGUGUAGCGGUGAAAUGCGUAGAUAUAUGGAGGAACACCGGUGGCGAAAGCGGCUCUCUGGUCUGUAACUGUCGCUGAGGCUCGAAAGCGUAGGGAGCAAACAGG
rnacentral:rRNA from 1 species